UACGAAGGGGGCUAGCGUUGUUCGGAUUUACUGGGCGUAAAGCGCACGUAGGCGGAUUGUUAAGUCAGGGGUGAAAUCCCGGAGCUCAACUCCGGAACUGUCUUUGAUACUGGCAAUCUUGAGGCUGGAAGAGGUUAGUGGAAUUCCCAGUGUAGAGGUGAAAUUCGUAGAUAUUGGGAAGAACACCAGUGGCGAAGGCGGCUAACUGGUCCAGAUCUGACGCUGAGGUGCGAAAGCGUGGGGAGCAAACAGG
rnacentral:rRNA from 1 species